CACGCGGUAAUUCUAUUUUAUAAUGAAGGGAAAGCUACCCACCAAAACACUCUUGUGUAACAACUGUGGAAAGAAGAGGGCAGUUUAUCUAAGGUAUGUACGUCGAAAGGGACUGUGAACUCUAUCGCCUGGAUAUCUUCACUUGUACUCUUCACUUUCACUUUGUGCAGUUUGAUUCAAGCUUCUGGGUAGGUUUUGGAAAUAGCAGGAAAUAUUUUGACAGCACUUCUUAAUUAAGUGUAAGUGUAGUAAAGCAAUUACAAGACUUUUGUCUGUGAAGUCAAAAUUGUAUAUACAUGAUCUUCCCUUGAUGUACAUGUUAUUGGGCAUUUGCCCUAGGGGUUGAAAGGGGUUGUUAGUUCAGAAAUUUGUAUGAAGAAGGGAGAGAGAAAGAAAGAAAGACAACGAAAGAGAUAAUAAAUGAAUGAAGAAGAAACGAGAGAAGUGAAUGUACGAAAGUGUGAUGAGGAUAUGAGGUUAGAAAAUGGUGUGGAAUGAAAACGCAAAAUGAUUCAGCAUAAUUCAAGAACAACGACUUGAGUUAUUGAGUUAGCGGUGAAGUAUCAAGCAGGCAAAGAUAGUGUUCCAGCAGAUUCAGAUUUUACACAGCUAUUCACGAGCUUUUUAUAUCGAUGGCUAACCUUGUUGAGAUUCAGGCGGCUUUAAUUUCACACCUGUUAUUAACUUAUUAUUGGGUCCAAAAAUGGAAGGAAGCUUUUAGGUGGGAAGAAUGAUGUGAGAUAUAUUAUAUUUGGGUUGCGUGGGGAGCAUGUCCGGUUAUCUACGGC